rnacentral:lncRNA from 1 species
CUGGUGCAGAAGAUCAAACGCACAUAGAAAAAGAAGGAAAAGAAGACUGAGAAAUGCAUAGAGAUAUGAAAAGCUGACCGUGAGUGAGUCUCAGUCAGUAAGUUACUCAGCUUUUGAUUGAACAGUCUCAGACUCCCCAGGGCUCCUAAGGAGGGAGGGGGCCCUGUCAGCCAUGAUUGCAGCUCGCAGUAGUUCGGUAGGUCGAGGGGGCCCUGAAGAGCACUCCAGGCACCGCAGACAGUCAGCUGCUUCUCUGACAGGGCACCGUGGGCACCGCAACUCUCAAGAGAGCACUCGUGAUAGUCAUGCUCAGCUCCGGCAGGGGGCGCUGCUGCGGGCGAGGAAAGCGUUUCUUAUCAGGGAGAUGGAGACCAACUGGUACUUGAAGCUGUGUGGCCGGGCCAGAGAAGAUAGUGUUGCUUAUGAGACUGGCAUGCCUUACCGGAAUUCAAUUCAUGAUACAGCACUGGCUGGUUUGUUAGAUCCCCUGAAUGAAUGCCAUAAUUGGGAUUGUUGUAAGUAUUUGGGGGAAUUUUGUAUUGCGGUUCUAAUUCUCUUUUGGGAUGUUUGCCAUUAUGAUUUUUGGUCAACAUAUUGUGUAUGUCUCUCUUUUAUAUCUUCCAGCUUCAGAAGGCUGUCCUUGAGCUGAUUUAGCUUUUUAUGUCUUUAACAAAAUGAAGCAGUCAAAAAAGGUUAAUGGAAGGAUUUAAAAUUGGAGCCCCGCAGCUGUACGAUGCGAGAAUGCUGGGCGCCUUUUAUUCUAUUUCUCUUAAAGCUGAAAAUGUAUCUGAUGAAAUAGGUUGUGAGAAAGACCAAGACAGACAGACAGAGAAGCA